rnacentral:lncRNA from 1 species
GGCGACACUUGAAUCUUCCUUUUCUUUUGUUUAUUUCAAUUCUCUUCCGGCGACCCCUGCUAUUUUCUUCCUAUUCUCUCUUCUGCUUUUGUGGUGUGUGUGGGUGUGCUCUGUUUUCUUGGACAGGUGCCUUAUUUUUCCGGCGAGGAUUUCCGGCAAGCUACAGUACUUCCGGCGACUCCCGUUCAGACUUUCGGCAACCCCUGCUCUUUUCUUCCUAUUCUCUCUUCUGCUUUUUGUGGGUGUGUGUAUGUUCUGUUUUCUUGGACAGGUGCCUUAUUUUUCUGGCGAGGAUUUCCGGCAAGCUACAGUACUUCCGGCGAUUCCCGUUCAGACUUUCGGCAGGACGCAAUAGAACUACACGUUCCGAUAAGCUUCAGGAAAACU